UCUAUUCCUUGCUUAAUUAUGCAAGGGCUGUGGCGUGAUACGCAAGAUUUUCCACGCGUGGCAACUCUUACGUAAUUGCAUGGAUUCUAACAGGUGGAGUGGUCACAUAAAACCCAUAAAAGUUUGCCAACUAUGUGCUUUCACUGCUCAAAUGUCCUCUUCCAUCGUGGAUACACACUAGAAACCAGAGGGCGCUUAAAUCCUGUGUGUGAUUGGAGCCAAACUUGAAAACGCUGUGCCUCCAUAUGUUUGUCUUGUAGAAGAAUACCACUCAACUCAACUCAGAGCUCCAGAGCUCCAGAGCUCACAGUGCAGUGCACCGCAGAUGAAAGGAUUUUUAUCUUUCCCCAGGACAGCGAAUCAAGAACCGCAAGAAAACAAAGUAAAAAAAAAGUUGGAUCUGGGGGUUUUCUUACUGAGAGAACCGGAGACGAGGACCAAGCAGCUUCAUACGAGAACGCCACAUACAAAGUAGCGAAAAAGAGAGAAAAAGCUGCGCACAGUUUAUUUGUUUGUUUGUUUCUCCCUGACAAAGAGGAGAAAGGAAUUUAUACCAAGGAAAGAGACCGAACCUUGUGUGUGUGUUCGCCACCACAAAGAAUGUAAAAGAAUCCCGAUGGAUAGGGUCAUUCCUGAGGC